ensembl:ncRNA M110.13 ncRNA
GAUAUUCUUACUUUGUUCCGUUCAUCAUUCCAACGAAACCGGAUACAGUUCUCCAUGUUAUCCAUAAAUCAACAGUAAUUUCCAGCAAGCCAAACUUAUCGAUUCCAAAGCGAGGAAUUGUCCAGGAUUUCCAUGAUUUGAGUGUUAAUUGUUUUUGAUAUCGUGUUCUGGAAAUUGGAAUAUUCAGAAAUUUUCUUCAAUAAACUUUAAUUAAC